GAAUAGUGAAACAAAGUCAAGCACUUUUCUGUGGGGAAAGCACCUGACUUUUUCCAGAUGUCAACACUGUUUCAGAGACAAACAACAAUUGUGUUUUACACACAAUUUUGAAGAAGUAAGCCAACAUCAAUAUAAUUCAUGUUUUACAUUUUAAAAAAUUAAUAAGUCUUUAAUGAAUAUAAUCCAAUUGCAUCUUGUCAUCUUCUUUUUCUUUGCUUUCUUGAUCUCUAUUUGAAUAUUUGAAAAUAGUGUUUACUUAUCUCUGUAACUUGCUAAUACAGAAUUAAAAGCUUUAGCGGAUCAUGGAGUAUUACAGCAAAACCACACCGUCGCUGUCACUUUAUCAGGCUGGGUCAAUACAGGACGAGUGCAAACAAAGGCACUGAAUUUGAUACAACAUCUCGCUCAGGUGGCCUAGUAUCGUUGGCUGUCUGUAAUGGAGGUACACACCACGCCUAUUGUUAGUCAGUAGACCUCAUAGGACCUAUCCAGCCCUAAUGAAGUCAGUCAGCAUGAUCACUGCCCUGUCAGGACAGGAGCACAACAAGAUAUCUAUCAUAUACACAUAAAUAUAUGCUAAAGAGGCUGAGGCUCUUGGUUGUCCAUCAAUACAUCCAACACUAAGGACACAAUGGUAUAGGCUAAUACACCUUUUAAGUUCAAGAAUUACAGUACGUCAAAAAAAUAGACUACUAUUGUCAUCUGGGCAUCACUUUUAAUCAAAACGACAACACAGAGACAAGCAGCAUAGCUACUCUUGUGAUCAAGACAAAAAGCCUUUACAUUUAUUUUUGUUCUUACUGUUUUGAUUGUUCACUCAAAACACCAGAAGCAUCUCAAGUUUACUUUGCAAUGAAAUUACAAACACAAUUUUUGAUUAUAAAUUGCCUUGGCCCAACUAUUCAUACCUCACAUAAGUGGUGUUACUGGCGUAUUUCUAUUCCCUUGACCUUAAAGUAAUUUGGGUUGCAAUCUGCUGUCUUUUGGUAAUUUUUAGUAGAUUUUUUAAUACUGUUGACUGACGUGAGUUAUCAACAGAUUACAUACAUUAAAUGGGUUUGCUACUAACAGUAUGUUUAUUUAUAUUGGUGAAAGAUGGUGGCCACAUAUGGUCAAGACAUGCCUUGGCAGUGUUGGCAAACAAACCAGUAAAAGCAGAUCAUAAACUUAAACUAGUGAUGAUGUCAACCAGUUUAAGUCAACAGCUGGGCUCUAGGCUGAUUGCAUAGGAAAGAUGUUCGUGCUGAUGAGAAAUGUUGACUGUCAGUUCAGCAGAGGUCAAUUCCAUUCUCUUGGACGAGCCCAUCUACAGUUAGUUUACAUGCCACACAGUUGGAUGUUUCCAGCUGCCGCUGACAAUACCUGGAUGGACAAUCGUCUGUAUUGUUGCUUGUCGACUGAAUAGAGAGAAUAAAAGUGCAAUUGCAAUGGAAGAGAGACAACAAGGAGCAGGUGAGCCGUCCCCACCCGCUUCGCGUUCACACUAAGCUCAGGAAGCGACACCAUUAAGGAUCAACAGUCUCACCACUGAAAAGAUGUGCACAUUUAAUCGUGUGGAUUUUUCCAAAUAAUUCCAGAGGAAAUCGAAAAAUGUUGCAAAUCACAUUUCAGGAGCAUGGGAAAGAAAACUCACCUCACCCACCUUUUAUUAUACCAUUAAGAUAUUUCACUGUUCAUUAGAUUCAUUAGCGCCCCAAUUAUGCAGUGACUGAUAAACCCUUGGACCUGAUGAUACCCUUGAUAACGAGGAUCUAGCUGCAUGUCGUGCCCAUACAGCUUGCAAAUUGUAACAGAAAUGGGAGAAGGCAUUGAUGGAGGAGGCCCAGAACCUGCUAUACUGUAUUCACUCCAGCGUAUGAGGCUGUCAGAGGAGUGGAUGUCAUCUGGCAUCAUGUGCGAUUGAGGAAACCACACUUGGUUUAUGUAAGGCGACCAUAAUACCACUUAUGUGUUUGUAAAGCAAGUGUGCUAUUCUUCUUUGUCACAGUAAAUCAAGACGGAAGGCAAUUAAAACUGGGUGAAAACACAUGCUUGUUGAUCAUGUAAACCACACUUCAGAUAGAAGCCUGGCUUAAACAAGGAUAAUACACGUAACAUCACACAUUGUAAGUGUCGUGUCGUUAGCUUGCCCAAGGCACUGCCCUAACCAAAGAGUGAACAUGGACUGGAGGACAGAUUCACGAUGACGUGCCACUUGAACACUCACUGGGAUGUGCUCAUCCCUCCGGUGUGAGUGGUACUGUAUAAUCUUGGUUGCCAAUAUCUUUCAUUAAACAAGUAAAAUUACAUUUGUUUUGGCAAUAAACUUCACUACAAUGUAUUUAUUGGUCAAAACCAGAAGUUGUUCUGAAAUAGACUGGUGGUUAUGAAGUUUCUUUCUGCAUUUGUGGAACAUAGGACAAAGUACUGGACCUGCCCCAAGCCAAGUGCCAGUUCUCCCAGUCACAUUUUUCUAAUUUUAAGCCCUUAAUCUGUCACCAUGCCUCUCACAAUCCCCACCAGAACCACAGAGCCCAAGGUUA